CAGUCAACUGUGCUGAACUGGAAAGGAAGAAAUGUUAUUUUUUCCAGGAUGAAAGCAAAACAAGAUCUCUCCCUGUUUAUCCUGUCUCACCCUUUUCUAAAGAAGGUGCCUGCCUUCCAAGCCCAGUGGUUUGGUGUGCAGAAAUGCUGAGCUCCCAGUCCCAGCUGAGACAGGCAGAGAGAUGCUUCAGUGAUUCACACCCUCGUGUCCUACAAGCACUGGAGAGUUUCAAAGGGUAUAGCAUGAUGUCUGGAAAGAUGAAGUUCAGAGACUUCAAGAAGUGAUGAAUUCGUCAUACCCCCUCAGGACUUAUUUCAAUGCUUAAUUAAUUGCUGUUAAGAUGUGCACCUUAUUGCUAGCUGAAACAUAGUUAUCUUCAGCCUCCAGCCACGGGAUCUCGUUAUGUGUUGCCUGGUAGA